GGCGCGUUCCCUGUAGUCCCACCCCUUCAUAGUUGACAGCUAACAGCAACGAGAGCUUCUUUACCAAAGUUGCUUCAAGGUCCCUGUCUGUGAUUAUUUCAUCUCCUCCAUCAUAUCAACAUGAGUGAUACUUGGCAAGAGUGUAUGGACCACUGUGUGGAGGUCACCAAAACGGCUGGGAAGAUGAUCCGUGACGCUCUCCAAAAGGACAUUGCCAUCAUGCAGAAGAGCUCGCCGGUUGACCUGGUGACCGAAACGGACCAGAAAGUGGAGCAGCUCAUUAUAUCAUCCAUCAAGGAAAAGUACCCCACACACAGCUUUAUCGGUGAGGAGUCUGUCGCAGCGGGUUCAACAAGUGUUCUGACUGACAAUCCCACUUGGAUCAUAGACCCCAUCGAUGGCACCACUAACUUUGUUCACAGGUUCCCAUUUGUGUCUGUAUCAAUUGGCUUCACUGUGAAGAAAGAGAUUGAAUUUGGCAUCGUCUAUAGCUGCAUUGAGGACAAAAUGUACACGGCAAGGAAAGGAAAAGGAGCAUUCUGCAAUGGAGUCCCAAUCAAAGUAUCUGGACAAGAGGAUAUCAGCAAGUCUCUGGUCCUUACAGAGAUGGGCUUCAAGAGCGAUCCUGAGCAAUUCAAAACCAUGCUGGGCAACAUCCGCACCAUCCUCAGCAUCCCUGUACAUGGAAUCCGAUCCCCGGGCAGUGCGGCUGUCAACAUGUGUUUGGUAGCGUGUGGUGCGGCUGACGCAUACUACCACAUGGGCAUCCACUGCUGGGACAUGGCCGGAGGGGCAGCGGUCGUUACCGAAGCUGGGGGAGUCAUCAUAGACAUUUCAGGUGGACCGUUUGAUCUGAUGUCCCGUAGGCUGAUCGUGGCGAGCAGCAGGGCGAUAGCAGAGCGCCUUGUGAAGGAAAUAACUGAGUUUGACGUCGGCAGAGACGACACCGAGCACAAGUAAACGUCCACAAACUCUUCUCAGCUGCUUCGUAUUAUCAGAGAGCGUCUUACAUUUAGUGCACAACCGGGACAACGAGGUGACAACUGCUCUCCUGCUGCUCCCAGUCAAAAAAAAAAAACUUUCAACAAAUCCUUCCUGCAUGGAACACCACACUGAAUUACUGAUCUGUUUAACUCAACACAGGUCUUUUUCUUUUAUCUUUGCCACACAUGUUGUGCAUCUUUCCGCAAAAGCUGGGACUUAUAUCGGGCGACUACGUUUGAGAGAAUCGGAUGUAAACUAGUUAAGUGCUCCUCUCCUGUCAUCACUGGCGAGUUGAAGAAACAAGCUCUGGGUAUUUCGACACAUAGAUUUGAGUAAUGCAAGGUGUGGCAGUGAGGGAACAUCGUGUCUGAACGGGCCAUGGAAAAAAACACUGUCUGCUACUUCACGCAGAAGAAUUAGACAAUGUGCAUUGAAAUAAAACACUAGAAAGACAUUUAUUCAUCAAUAAAGUCUCAUAUCAACAUUAAAGCUGCAUUGUGUAACUUUUGGGGAUUCUGCCUGUGUUUGGUCUUCAUGAACAGAAUCAACAUAAUAUUAUUUUAUUCUGCGUCCUUCAUCUUUAAACGGGCUCUGUCAGGCAAAACUAUCAGACCCGACUGAGGGAGCGUUUGUGUGUCAUACAUUCCCAUAGCAGCACAGCACAGCACAUUAAAACCAGUGGGCGUAGACGCUGGGCUGAUGCAUCAUGAUUGGAGGGACUGUCUGUAAGGCGGAAGUACUUUUUGAUUGACAGUUGUAGAAAUAUACAACUGGAUCAAACAAAAGCUCACACCAAAUUUGAUAAAAGAGAAGAUCUGCACAUCUUCAAGGAUUUUAUUUGCUGCACUGAUCCGUCUUUCUCAGGCUAAUUAUUCUGUUUAUAUCAUAUUAUGUCUGGUAGAUUAAGCUACACUUUAUUGUAUGUUUUGAUUUAACAAUAAAGUCGUUGCUGUGACUGUCACAGUCGUAAUGUUGUCGUUUUGUUAUUUCCUCCUGUUGUGGUGUAGUUGCAGAGGUUACCCCACCUUAUAGUGUCAUAAAAUAACUGCGUGCUGUCACCUGUCCACAUGACAGUUGCAGGAAUGCAGUAAAGUCAGAAUGUGCAUGUGGAGUGUCUGCAGUUUAUUUUAUUGACGUUUAUUGAGGAGUUGAGGUAGUGAGAAAACGGGUGAGCAGGCACACAAAAUUUCUCACGGGGGGUGAACCUUUUCCGAGUAUUCCAAAAAGAACACGAGAGAAGCUGAAAGCGGUGAAGCUAUCAGGAAACAUUAAAUUAGCAGGAGGCUUUGUUAGUCCUGCCAAAAUUCUAGAAGAAAACAAAGUAAGGAUCUUGAAUGUGCAUUUGUGCCUGCUCCAAAAAAUGCUUUAGAUUUACCCCAGGAAGCGGUUUUGUGAGUUGAUGACGGCGCUAUAGAGGAUGGUAUUUACUGCGCUUCAUUGCUAAUGAUGAGUCACCAUCUGCAUGCGUGUUUGACAUGUCUGAGACAUGAGAUGUUAAAGGGAUGUAUGGACACCACUGAUUAUGACACAGCAGGGUGUUGUCUUCCUGAGACACCUCCACACUGUCCACCCAGAUCAAUCGAGAAGACAACCCCGAAAAAUUUUCCACUCGCCUAUAAUGCAUCUUACUUUAUGUUAAAUGAAGUGCGCCAUGUCAUUGCAGGCCAACCACUGUAAGCGCAAUGUUUUGCUCUGUGGAAACGUGAGGGUGGUGCCAGUACUUUUCCCACUCUAUCAUGCCAGCUCUUUUCUUUUUUUUCUUCUUAAGAUAGAGGCAGCUAAAAGUUUUGCUUUUCAAAAGCUGUUGCACUUGCAUCAAGGAGCGACGUUUAACAACACCACCAGACUUCACAGAAACUCUCUCCUAAGUGAGAAAUAAAGAAAACAUGGCACAGCAAUGGCAGAGGGAAUAUGACUUUGCUGUUAAAGUGGCCAGAAAGGCUGGAGAGG